rnacentral:tRNA from 1 species
ACCUGGCUGGCUCAGUCAGUGGAGUGUGUGACUCUUGAUCUUGCAGUUGUGGGUUUGAACCCCAUGUUGGGUG